CUUUAUUUUGAGAUAGACACAAAGUUAAUUUCUUGAACUAACUUGUCUCAAAUGGUUAUUAGAUCUAAGGUUUAGGAGAAAUAGGGUGAGCUGGGAAAUCUGUUUAUUGCUCGUUGGAUAUCUGAUUUUUAGGCCAUCAGAAUCGGAUGGAUAUUUUGUGGAAUCCGAUUUCCAGUCAUUUCAAUCAUGGCUUUGCGAAAAGUGAACCACCUAGAUUUGCUUAUCUCAUAUCAGGCACAAUGGGUGACAGUCACAGAAUGAUGAGGACUUUGCAAGCGGUUUAUCACCCAAGGAAUCAGUAUGUUAAGUGGCCGAGAUGAUAUGAUGGGAUGCCUUCACAGGCUUGAUGAUAUUAUGAACACAUGUACCUAUGCACGACAUGACAUUCAUACACAUAUGCAUGACGCUACAAGUAUUUCAUGUCCAGAGCUAUCUAGACUUACAGGUAUAAACAAUCAGUUUGACGAGCCCUCAUAGUAAACGAUGC